GAAUAGAAAGCGCUGGGGACAGAGCCUGGCCUGCAGAAAGUGCUCAGGAAACGCAGGCUCCCGCUGUGGCUGUGACUGGCUUCCCGCCCCUCCCGGUCUGUCCCCCGGGCUGCCCGCCCCGCCUUACUUGUUGAAAUUUCGGUAGUCGUUGGGGCUGGGGGUGUGACUUCGGCCAUCGCUCUGGUAGUCCCGGUAGCUGACGAACUCCUGCCAAGGGCAGCGGUAGCCCUUGGAGAUGGCGGUGUGGUUGAACUUCUCUGGCGGGACGCCCUUCAGCGGCUCCGCAUAGCCUAGGGGCGCGGGGGGAAGGGAGCGCCUCCGUUCUUCCACCCUCAGCCCCCAACCCCACCUCGCCCCACCCCCAUUCCGCGGACGCGGUUGGAGGAGGGAAGAUCGGAGUUAGGGGAGAGGACGGCGGGAAUGGGAAGCCACAGUUGCUCCAGCACAGGAGACCCCUCCCCAUCCCAGGAAACACGGAGGACUGCAGUGAGGAAGCCACGAGUUCGCAGCGCGGGUUGGUCUUGGCCUUGGCUGACUCGCUGUGUGACCUGGGGCGCGGCGCCCCUCCGGCUCGUGGUCUGGCGAGGGGAGUGCGCGCGUGCGCGUGUGUGUUGGGGAAGGGGGCGGACUAGCCUUCUGGGUGCUCUUCCUGCCCCAUGGGGAGCACACCCAUGCUUCAGGCCCCCCAGCCCUGGUCCCGGGACCCGAGGAGGCCACUCACCUGGCGCCAGGGCGCUGGGGCUGGGGACGCACCCAGCAGGGGCGGCUGCAGGGUGGGCGCCCUCGGGACCCCCGAGUGAGGCCCCGGGUGAGGCCGGGAAGAUGUGGAGCUCCGAGCGGUAGUUCGGCCCCUCAGGGCCAUUGGCAUUGGCAACCUGGGCACAGGGGCGGGUUCUCAGAGGCCACCGACGACCUCCCGCCCCCAGCCGCGCUCCCCUUCCCCCAGCUUCCCUUCCAGGGAGCUCCCCUCCACGCUCACCGUCCCCGACUCCGCUGUUCCAGUCACCUUCCUCCUGGCGCUUCCGGCCAGCAUCUGGGAACGAGGGGGUAGAAUAAACCGCAGAGAAGCUCAGCGGGGCAGGGGACCAGGGUUCUCCCUCCACCAAAAAAAAAGGUCGGGGGGAGGCAAGAAUCCUAACGCCCAUCAUCGGGGAACAAGGAUGAGUUACUAGUUUACAACGCUAAACCCAGUGCCUGGGACCGAGAAAUACUCGAUAUAUGUUAAUUGCUAUUGUAAUGCCGAGUCCGGGCAAGAUACUUAAUUUCCCUGAGCCUCAAUGUCCUUCUCGAUAGAAUGAGGAUGAUGGUGAUGAAGAUCUCUUCCUCAGAGGGGUCUAUGAGCAUUAAAUGAGAUACCUGCAAAGUGCUUAGCUAGCAUUGUCUUAGGCACAUAGCAAAGGCGGGUGUUUUGCCAUCUUUAUUUUUCUGCCACAUCACUCCCUCUCAGUUGCCUCCUGUCUAGCCCAGAAAUUAAGUGGAGGGUGGAUGGAAUAGCCCUGGCUUCCUUAGAAGUAUCUGGAACUGCCUGCUGCCUUUCUGAAGCCAAGGGAAAAACCCUUCUUGCCUUUCUUCUCCACCAGCAGAUUAUUCCAUGGCCUUUCCUUUCUCCGGUGGGAAGAAGAAAAAAGGGCAUUCUACAUUUUCCAUCUUAGAUCAGGCCCAAGUCUAAACUAGAUCCAGCCUGCUGCAAAUUUAGCCUAGAGUGCAUGCCUGUCUUAGCUUUUUUUUUUUUUUUUUUUUUUUGGUAGGAGCCAGAGUCCCUUCACUCCACGGCUUAUCCUCAACCCCCUAAUCCACUUUGUUUACUUUGUUCUGUAUCCAGGGAGAGAUGCCUAAAAAGAUAACACUUUUCAAGGAUCACACUGAAAGGCAGGAGCCUAAUCUGAUGGGAACAUCACAGUCCUCAGCCUGGCUUACCGUUUGACUUUAGGCUAACCAGUGGCUCUCUGUGGUCCUCAUUUUCCCCAUGAGCACAAUGGUGGCUUACUCACCGCCCGCUGGCUGGCUGCUAACUCGAAAGUGAACUUCUGCACACGGCGCUGCCUCUUCUGGAAGAGGAGGGACCCUCUGUUGUUGCGUAGUGACAGCUCCUCCAUCAUCAGGUCCUGGGGCACGCUCAGCUUCUUGCCCAGGUCCAGCGUAGGGACUGCCAGGAAAGGCCAGAGCGGGCUCUCACCACCCCAUCCCCCAUACACUCCAGGCCCCACCUCUCGAAGCAUGGCAUGCUGUGUGUAAGAAUGCCUGUUUCUCACCAAGCUUGCCGACACCGGGUGUCAUGAUUGUUUGAAAUCUUUGCCCACCUGAUGGGCAAAAAUGACACCUCAGAGUUUAAUUUGCAUGUGUUUGUUGCUCAGUGAAGUUUAGCACUGUUUCCGAAGUUCUUUGGCCAUUUGUGUUUAUUGCAUGAAUUCCCCAUGCAGGUCUUUGCCCAUAAUGGUGGAGGUAGUGAGAAAUGGUCAGAUUCUCGAUAUUUUUUAAAGGUAAGCCAUGGGUAUGGGCAAUGAGUGAGAGAGGAUGACUGCAAGGUUUCUGGCCUUAGCCACUGGAAGGAUAGAGCAGCCAUUCACGGAGAUGGGGAAGGCAAAGGGAGGAGAAGGUUCUGGGAAAGAUCAGGAGUUCAGUUUUAGACCUGUGUUCUUUUAACUUUAAAAUAGCCUUUUAUUAUUAUAAAAAAGCAUAUAUGGGCCAGGCGCGGUGGCUCACGCCUGUAAUCCCAGCACUUUGGGAAGCCAAAGCAGGCGCAUCACCUGAGGUCAAGGGUUCGAGACCAGCCUGACCAACAUGGCAAAAACCCAUCUCUACUAAAAGUAGAAAAAUUAGCUGGGCGUAGGUGGCGCAUGCCUGUAAUCCCAGCCACUCUGGAGGCUGAGGCAGGAGAAUCACUUGAACCCAGGAGGUGGAGGUUGCAGUAAGCCGAGAUUGCAUUGCUGCACUCCAGCCUGGGUGACAGAGUGAUUUUCCAUCAAAAAAAAAAAAAAAAAAAAAAAAAAAAAAAAGCAUAUAUGGGCCCUGAGGAAAGUUGGACAAUACAGAUAUCAGACAAAAAAGAGAAAAAUACCAUUAUCUAUCACCCAGAGACUGCCACUAUUAACACCUUAGUGUAUGUCCUUUCAUAUCUUUUUCAAUGACUAUAUUCCUAUGAGGUUUUAACCAAAAUAAAAUUAUAGCAUACAUGUUUUGUAAUUUUUUUUUUUUUGAGAUGUCACCCAGGCUGGAGUGCAAUGGCACAAUCUCGGCUCGCUGCAACCUCCGCCUCCCGGGUUCAAGCAAUUCUCCUGCCUUAGGCUCGUGAGUAGCUGGAUUACAGGUGCGCACCACCACGCCCAGCUAAUUUUUGUAUUUUUAGUAGAGAUGGGGUUUCAACAUGUUGGCCAGGCUGGUCUCAAACUCCUGACCUUGUGAUCCGCCCCCCACCCCCCCUCGGGCUCCCAGAGUGCUGGGAUUACAGGCGUGAGCCACCGCUCCCGGCCUGUAACUUGUUUUAUCAAGAUCUUUACAAGUUAAAGAUCUCCACAUUUCCAAGUGAACAAAUUUUUGUUUUACCUAAUAUCUAGUCCAUAUCCAAACUCUGCUAAUUGUCUCCAAAACUGGGCACACUAAGUUUGAGGAGACUUGUAGGCAUCUAAGUAGUGGUGCUGAGGAGGGAGAUAGAUGUGUGAAUCUGGAGAAAACUGACCUGGAGGUGAAAUGUUGGGCAUCAUGAGCUUUUACUGGUAUUUACUGGUAUUUGUUGUUGUUUUUCAAUGAAGAACGUUACAUUUAUUUCUUUUCUCAUAGUUGGAACUAGUCUUUACAGCUAUUUAGAGGAUUUUCAGGGUGAUGGCUGUUCUUAGUAGUUUGAGACCCAUCCCUAUCCUUUGUGCGUUUCCUACCAGCCAAAUUCAAACUUUCACGUUUGGCCAACAAAGGAAGCCUUUUGCAGGACAGAGGGGACAGAAUGGUGAGGACCUUGGCAGGUGAGAGCCCUGUGUGGGCAGCACGGCCUGCCUAGUCCAUCUCUAAAAUCAGAUACACAUACGUUCAUAUUCCAGCUCCAUAAAUGGUAUUUUAAGCUGGGAGGCUGGAUGAGAUCAUAAAGAAAUGAGAAUAGGUAAAGAGGAUCAGAGACGGAGCCUGGGGCCUCCAACAUUUACAGUGAGGCGGUGAGGAGGAACCAAGCCAGGAGCCUGGGCAGGAGCAGCCCACAACAUAGGAAGAAACUAAAGAGGAUGGCAUCCUGGAAAUAAAUGAUGAAAGCAUUUCAGGUAUGAUAGAGAGACUAACAGAGCCAAGUGCUGCUGAUGUGUCAAGGAAGAUGAGGGCUGAAAAUCCACUAUUAUAUUUAGCAAUACAAGGUCAUUGGUAAUUUUCACUAAAGCAGUUUCUAUGGAGUGUUUGGGUGUGAAAGCCUAACUGGAGAGGGUUCAAGAGAAAAUGGACAGAAGAACAAGUUUAACCACACCAUGAGGAAGCGAUAAGCCAAAUCCAGGACGCAGGACAUUCUACAGGACAACUGGCCUGGUUUUUCAAACAAACGAGUUUCACUCUUGUUGCCCAGGCUGGAGUGCAAUGGCAUGAUCUCGGCUCACUGCAACCUCUGCCUCCCGGGUUCAAGCGAUUCUCCUGCCUCAGCCUCCCGAGUAGCUGGAAUUGCAGGCAUGCACCAUCACGCCUGGCUAAUUUUGUAUUUAUAGUAGAGAUGGGGUUUCUCCAUGUUGGUCAGGCUGGUCUCGAGCUCCCAACCUCAGGUCAUCCGCUUGCCUCAGUCUCCCAAAGUGCUGGGAUUACAGGCGUGAGCCACCUCCCCCAGCUGAGCUCAAUAUUUAAAAAAAAAAAAUGGCAGGCACAGUGGCUCACAACUAUAAUCCCAGCACUUGCAGAGGGCAAAGUGGGUGGAUUGCUUGGGCCCAGGAGUUCAAGACCAGCCUGGGCAAUAUAGCAAGACCCUGUCUCUAUUAAAAAAUAAAAAAAGAUAAAAUCUAUUUGACUGAGUAUUUCUAUUUCUAGGAAUUUAUUCUCGGGGAAAAAGUUGAAUAAAUAUGUCCAAAGAUACAUGUAUAAGAAUGUUUAUUGCAGUGGGGUUUAAAAUUGUGAAAACUGGGACUCAGUCUCGUGGUGGAUGCUGCCAGAUGCCCCUUAUUAGUGGCUAAGAGUUCACACCACCACCUUCUACAGAGAACUGCCAGUGGAAUGGAUGCUCCACAGCGCCCUUGCCUCAGGUGGGAUGAAUUCUGUGGAGCAAUUCAUGCUCGAGAGCUCCCCGCGGGGUCACACUGAACUGGACAGCCGCUGAGCCCACAUCCUCGCUCAGCAGUACCCCACCCUAGGCUGCAUUCCUCCUUCCCUUCCGAGAGCACGUUCUCAAUAAGUCACUUGCACAAGGCUCCUCUGUUCUGCCCCGAAGGAUCUCACCCCAGACAACCCUCAUCAGGGGAUGGUUAAACACACAUGACGUGUCCAAACAGCAGAAAGCUGGUAAGCACGGGGAAGGAAGGCGUGAGAUAAAUCAUACUAGGAUGGAAUGCUGCUAAAUGAAAAAAAAAAAAAGCCAAAGAACAUAGCAUAUAGUAUUUAGCCCAUGUGUAUGUAUGUUUAUAUAAAGACAUUCAUAUAUGAACAGAACAAGAAUUUACAUAAAUAUGUUAACAGUGGUUAUCUCCAGAUGGUUCCAUUAUGAUGAACUUUCAAAGCCGUUCAUGUCUGUUUUGUCUGAAUUAAACAAAUUUUUUUAAUGUAUGCCAAGUCAAUGGCAAGUGAAUUUUUUUUUUAAAAAGUGAUGUAUUAUCAUUGUAACCAUGUAAUAAAGAAACAGCUCUGAAGACAAAG
rnacentral:lncRNA from 1 species